GUGGGGAAUUUUUCGCAAUGGGGGAAACCCUGACGAAGCAACGCCGCGUGGAGGAUGAAGGUCUUCGGAUUGUAAACUCCUGUCGACUGGGACGAAGGCACCCGACCUAAUACGUCGGGCUGUUGACUGUACCGGUGGAGGAAGCCACGGCUAACUCUGUGCCAGCAGCCGCGGUAAUACAGAGGUGGCAAGCGUUGUUCGGAAUUACUGGGCGUAAAGGGCGCGUAGGCGGCUGCGUAAGUCCCGUGUGAAAUCCCUCGGCUCAACUGAGGAACUGCACGGGAGACUGCGCGGCUUGAGUUCGGGAGAGGGAAGCGGAAUUCCGGGUGUAGCGGUGAAAUGCGUAGAUAUCCGGAGGAACACCGGUGGCGAAGGCGGCUUCCUGGACCGACACUGACGCUGAGGCGCGAAAGCUAGGGGAGCAAACGGGAUUAGAAACCCUAGUAGUCC
rnacentral:rRNA from 1 species